GAUAAACGCUAGCGGCAGGCUUAACACAUGCAAGUCGAGGGGCAGCAUAGAUUGUAGCAAUACAAUUGGUGGCGACCGGCGCACGGGUGCGUAACGCGUAUGCAACCUACCCGUCACAGGGGGAUAAUCCGGAGAAAUCUGGUCUAAUACCCCAUAACAUAUGGAUCGGCAUCGGUUCAUGUUGAAAUUUUCGGAGGUUACGGAUGGGUAUGCGUAGCAUUAGCUUGUUGGUGAGGUAACGGAGCACCAAGGCGACGAGGAUUAGGGGGACUGAGAGGUUUUCCCCCCACACUGGUACUGAGACACGGACCAGACUCCUACGGGAGGCAGCAGUGAGGAAUAUUGGUCAAUGGGCGCAAGCCUGAACCAGCCAUGCCGCGUGCAGGAUGACGGCUCUAUGAGUUGUAAACUGCUUUUGUACGAGGGUAAAGUGGGUUACGUGUAACCAUUUGAAAGUAUCGUACGAAUAAGGAUCGGCUAACUCCGUGCCAGCCGCCGCCGUAA
rnacentral:rRNA from 1 species